GGGGUUGUGGCUCAGUGGUAGAGCGCUUGUCUCACACGUGUGGGGCCCUGGGUUCGAUCCUCAGCUCAGCACCA
rfam:Ictidomys tridecemlineatus contig086480, whole genome shotgun sequence.